CUCUUACAAAUAUUUUUGGAUCUCGUAUAUGCUUGAUAUACGGACGUAUAUACGGUAUGUACGGUAUACAUACGUAUAUACGGUCUGUACGGUAUGUAUACUUAUAUACAGUUGUACAGUAUGCAUACGUAUAUACGGUCUGUACGGUAUGCAUACGAAUAUACAGUUGUACGGUAUGCAUACGUAUAUACGAUCUGUACGGUAUGCAUACGUAUAUACGGUAUGUACAAUUUCAUACCGUAGCCGAGCUGGAAGUUGGUGGGCCGAUUGGUAGGCCCAAAUAGUAAGCCCAAAUAGUAAGCCCAAAUGGUAGGCCCAAAUGGUAAGCCCAAUUGUUCGGCCCGAAUGGUAGGCCCAAAUGUUAAACCCAAAUUGGUUCGAGCCGGUUCUAAAUGUGGAUGGUUCGGUUUCUUCGGCCCAAUUGGCCAGCCCUAAUGCUUAGCCCAAGGAUUGAGCAAGCCCAAGUCAUCAUCACUGGGUGACAUGUUUUAUUGGCGUGCUUUUGAGAAUGAUUUGUUUUGAGUGAUGCUAAUUGAGAAGCGAAACGCUUUGUGGGAGUGUUUACUGUGCUUGUAUGCCAGUACAGGAUGACGAUCUGUGUGAAAACAGCUAUAUGUGCAAUGCCACGUGGUGAUUUGAGUGUGGGUUGCUUGAGGCAAUUGUUGUGUUGUAAUUUUGAGAAAUGAUGCGGUGAAGGAAUGUCAUGUUGAUGACUUAAGUGGGGAUGAGGAUUUCAUUUGUGAAUUCUCGUUGUGUGAGUUUACGUUUGUGAUGAAAGGAUUUAGUGGCCAUAGGAAUGUAUUUUUAUACAAAGGGCUGUGGUUUUGUAGAUUACUACAGUUUUGGGAAAGAUGGAGAUUCGAUGGUUAGGUUAACUGUAAUCGAGAGCAAUUAACUUGCGCUUAAAUUUCGGGACGAAAUUUCUUUAAGGAGGGUAGAUUGUAAUAACCUAGUUUUUUUUAAUCAAACAAUUUGGUGGCAAACACCGGUUCCGUGAUUUAAGGUUAGUGGACAAUUGCAUAAUUUGAAGGCCGGUGCUUUAACAUGAUUAUGCAUGAGUGGAAGAACGAAUCAAUUAAGCUAAGAAACGAAUUCUCUCUCUCUCACGUCCGAAACCACCCAAAACAGAGCAAAACUUCUCCAAACUCUCUCUCACUCCACCGGCCACCAAUCAAGACCAGAACACUUCCUAUAGCUUCGCCUCGACCUUGCGCAGCUGCAGGUGGCAGCCUUGAACCACGACACGGCCACCAGCGGCGGCGGGAAGCUCCGCCCGGUUUGAGCUCGUUUUGGUUCCAAGCUUGAUAUCUCAAGCUACCGGCCAACAAUCCUCACCAAACUUCACCCACGAGCUCGCCUCAACGUCCUGAAGCUCCCAGAAGUGGCCUUGCACGGCGGCGCUACUCGUGGUGGCGGCUGGAAGCCAGACCCGAUCAAAUCGAAAACCGAAGCUUCGAUCGGUAUAUCUCGAGCUGUAGUGCAUCGUUUUGAUUGAUUCUUUUUCCAGUGGGUUCCCCUUGAUGUUGUUAACAACUCUCUAGAAGGCAUCGAGGCCUGAAAUUGAAGUUUUUACGUCGAUCGGAGCCCUCGCCGGAUUCUGCAAAAUUCUGCAAAUUUUCCGACCACCGAAGCUUUCGAUCGGUAUAUCUCGAGCUACAGACCAUAUUUUUCUGUGAUUCUUGAACCAAUGCGUUCGUCUUGAGUUUCUUAACAACUCUCUAGAAGGAAUCGAAGCCUGAAAUUGAAGUUUUGACGUCGAAAUCAAGCCUUGCCGGAUUCUGCAAAUUUCGCCGGAUUCUGGAAAUUUUCCGGCCACCUCGACUGUUCUAGGUUAUUGACGGUUUGAGUUGGUGGACGAUUGUGGAUCGUAUUUUGAGCUGAAUUGAAGACGCAGCGGGAUUAUCGAGCGGGAAAUCCUACAGGUCAGGAGAACCAGGACGGUGAUCGGGCUGCUUAGAGUAGUGUUAUGUGAAUUACAGCAUUAUAUUGUGAGGUUUGUUAUGCUCAUUUAGAGCUUUGCAAUUUUACUUUGUAAGAGUGAAUUGUAAUAAUUAACUCGAGGUUUUCGAGUUUUUGUGUUGAGUGGCGAGUGGUAUGUUUGUUUGUGAGAAAAAAAUUCAGAACGUUAUUUGUAUUAAUUGUUUAUUCAUGUUUCGGAUUUGAAUUGGU